UCUCCACUGGAAUCAGCAACUCCCUGGAACUCGGGCCUCUGGCCCCGUCCCUCUUUUCUCCGGCAGGGACGCAGGAUGCCUUGGUGCACUCUAGAGACGGGGACCGGAGGGUGCAGCGCGCCUGGGUGGGGCGAAGGGCGCCGGUCUCCUCACGCCCUCUGACUUUAGGAUACCAGACAGUGUCUCUUCAACCCCACCCCAGGCGCAGGUUUCCAGAAGGCGGGGUGGGUGGGGCCCCCGAUUUCCAGAAGGCGAGUUACCUAGCAGGCAUUUUAUUAAUGCUUUUACGAGUUAGAAGAGUUGGGAUAAUUUGCCAUCUGGAGUUUCUCUGCCUUGCUGAUCUGAGCUCAGACCUGCCAAUUUACCAGAGAUAAUUGAUAACACCCUGUAACAGCUGAGAGGAAAAUGGAAGAAACGGAGAUACUUUUAGUGAAGCAGAAUAAACCACUGAACAGGAAAAAUGAGGAAGCUGUGAGUACCAGUGGAAGGAACGAGCCAGGAAGAGGGACUGGAACCAUCUCAGAAGCCAUGCCCCUCAGGCUGGAACUUGCCCUGUCUCCUCGCAGAUGAGCUACCUCUUGUGUUUAAGAAUUAAAGGAAGAUGAGCUAGGAAUCAAGAAAUACGCAGAACUGAUUCCUGUCACUGGCGCCACCCUGCCACUUGCCCAGAGCUGUGGUAUAAAUUUUUUUAAUAGGCUGAAAUAAAAAUAUGAAUAGCAUUUUGGUAUUAAGCAUUAAAUUGAUAAAGGCUAUGAGAUACACCUGCUCUCAACCAUGUUAAUUUUUUAUUAUUGGUAUUAAUAAAUUAUUACUUACUAACAUAUUAACAAGAAUUGCAUUGAGAAACAAAGCAUCCACAGGCCAAAUCUUCUGAAUUUCAAAUGUUUAUAUUAAUGCGUUGUAUUCUAGAAAAGUAGAAUUGUCUUAAGUAGCUUUGUAAUAUAAAGUCAUCUAUCAGCCCAUUACACCUAUUAGAAUGUUUUAACCUUUAUUUCCCACUUUUUUGUUUCUAGACUGAGUGUACUUGGUCUGGUAUUUGUGGCAUAACUUACGGAACACAUAAGAAUGAUACAGAUACUAUUUAAUGAUGACCUAAUACAAGCUUAGAUAGCUAAGGUGAAAGCUUCUAUGGCCUUAACAUUUUCCUCUUGAAGAAUGUAUUUUCUGUAAUAAAAUACAGUGGCUACUUGAAAUCUAUAAACUUAUGUGAGGUCUGGAUAAAUCUGAGCAACUUUCUUCUUUGUGCUCCAGGAACCUACGCACUAUAUAUAUAAAUAAAGCUUAAGUAAACAUCACUGCAA
rnacentral:lncRNA from 1 species